ACUAGAGAUAAGAAAAAUGGAGAGAAGUGCCGCCGUGGUCGCGGGAGCUUCCGGGUCUGUGUGGCUCCACGUCUGGCCGCGCGCGAGUUCGGCGUUGCGGCGGCUCCGAGUCCUCGUCAAGCCAUGGUUUGUUUAGAGCAGGUUUCCGAGAUGGAGCAAUGCAGGAAGAGAAAGGAGCGCCAGCUACGGACUCCAGUCUUUCUGGCUGCUGCCGAGCCCCUCCGCCCAAGCCCGGGAACCCAACCACGCUCGUCGGCCGCGGUUCCUGGCUCUUACCCCGCUGCGAGGCUUCUGCGUGAGGGCGCGGCUCUCGGGCAACGGCCAGGCAGCCUUCGAAGAUCGGAGAGACGAGGUGGACGAAGGUUGUCACCUACCUCACAAGCAGAGACCCCAGGAUCAUACCUCACAUUGCAUGUGGUGGUGUUGAAGGAUAAAAAAACCACAAUUCAGAAAGUGUGGCUAAAUCUGAGAAUGCUUCUCUCCGGAGGAUACUCUUGCUGAACCACUUGGGAAUUUCUGCUAGGAGAUACCCCAGGUUUGAUGGAAGCUUAUCAAACGCCUUCUCGAUACAAAGUGCAAGCGAAUGACAUAUGCAUCGGUUCAGCUGACAAUGAGGCGAUUGCUCACGAAUUCGAGACCACACGGAGUUGUGCUCCCCAAUCAUCGCAGAUGCACCAUCGCUGCCGAACCCGAUGCAGUCAACCAGCUUCAGACCGAGUUCAUCUAGUGUGUUCCUAAGUAUUUCAAAGAGUUCUCUAUCUGUAGCCCCAACAAUGGGCUUUAGAGCAACAAAUUCAGUCACAAUAUGUAACUUUGACUGGUUGAAAUACCUGAUGACAAUACACAGAUGCUUGUCAAUAGCGAUGUCCGUUGAUUCGUCGAUGAGGAUUGCAAAUUUUUUGUUCUCGACAUCAUGCUGUUGAGUCUCCUUCAAAGCAGGGGAAAUUACUUUAGAGAUAAGUUUACUGCACUUAGCGCGAUGAACUUGAAGGUUUGCGAGUUUGCUACCUUUCCCAUUCUUCUUCAUAAAUUCUGCCAGGUGAUCAACAGUGGACAUUGCGCAGUGACACGCUAUAGUCAUAGCAAGCUCAAUUUCUAUGCGUUUGGUUAUCUCAAUAUCCUUGUCUAUUUUCGGUUUCUGAAAAAAGGGUAAUGCUGCACAAUGAGAACUAGCACUUACUCUUUCUGUAUGCCCCUUCGUUUUUUCGUGGUCCGAAAGGCGAGAAACCUUUGGUGCGAUUUGUGUCUUGCAAAGCUUGCACAAUCCGUGUUCACUUCCAUCGCUAGAUUUUGUGAGCCACAAGAACUUUUGUUCCCACGAUUUAUUAUAUUUUCU
rnacentral:lncRNA from 1 species